UAUGGAGAAUGUGCAGGGCCAGUGAGGAGCAAAUGGUGUGGAAAAACAGGCAACCAAGCAAAACCAAGGCGAGGCCCAAGGAGCAGGGGCAGUCCUGCUGGGCUGUCGUCAGAGGGCGAAGGAGCCUGCAGGUGCUGGAGCGGCCCCAGGAGGGAGGGGUCUCCUGGACAGCACAGCCCCAGCCACACACUGUGCAUUCUGAACCGCGGGCUGACGCUGGGUGCGUCCACGAGUCUGUUCCUUGGGGGCCGCGGGUGUGGCUCUGCAGGGAAGUGUCCAGUGGGCAUCUGUACCAGAGCAGAGGGGCAGAGCAGGUCCCAAGGUCUGCCCUCCCUGGGUGACCAAGGUCAAAGCGACGCUCCCAGACCACCGGGGCAUCUGUCGUCAGCAGCAGACACAGGCAAGAGGCCAGAGCAGGCCUGGCACGGGCGGCAGAAGCAAACCCCGAGCCCGGGCAGGGGUCCCUGGCACUUUGUGGCCAGAGCGCAGCUGCUGCUUGCGUGUCUGCACGCCCGUCACCCUCACCUGUGCACGCCACAGGGGCACUCCUGGGCCCUGCUGCACCCAGAUGAGGUCGUCUGCACCGGAGAGAGAGGAAACGCCACCAGCGCUGCACCCAGCCCUGGGCACACCCGCGAGCAGCCCCUGAGAUGCCAGGGCACGGGUGGGGAGCCGUCCCGGAGCCACAGCACCCCCUGGAAGCCUCCCCCACUGCAUGAGGGUCUCACAGGGCCCUGGGGGCUGACUGACGUCUUCCGGGGCCUGCGCUUGCAGAUCGAGCCCUGCCACAGCUUCUGCCACACACUGACAGGCGUUCACCUCUCACGUGCACCCGUGUGUGACGUGGAAGGGACAGGGAGCCCCGAGUGCUGGGAGACCUUGGGCUGGAACCCAGUGGUGUGCAAAUGUGCCCAGCAGGAAGGCUGGGCGGGGCAGCUGUGGGCCCUCACCGUGCAUCCAGAGUGGCUGGCGGGCCCGGGGCAGGUCCGGCGCGUGGAAGACAGGGAGCUGAGAUGUGUCAUUUAUUUUGAAGCUAUUCAUGUAUUUCGUGGCAACAUUAGUAUAGGAAAAAUAGAUCAAAAGCAAAGCUGGAAAAGAAAACCAAUGGUUGUUUCACACUGA
rnacentral:lncRNA from 1 species